UUAACUCAAAUUUGCAUGGAGUUCGAACGUUUGCCUCUCCGUCUGCCGCUAAAGGUCCCGUUCCAACUGCAUACAAAUUUGAGUUG
rfam:Bombyx mori DNA, contig: Bm_scaf39_contig22816, strain: p50T/Dazao, build 2, whole genome shotgun sequence.